ACCGCCAUGAGGAAACUGCCCUCGCCCUGUGCGAGGG
rnacentral:sRNA from 1 species